UACGGGGGGGGCAAGCGUUGUUCGGAAUUACUGGGCGUAAAGAGCUCGUAGGCGGUUUGUCGCGUCUGCUGUGAAAACUGGAGGCUCAACCUCCAGCCUGCAGUGGGUACGGGCAGACUAGAGUGCGGUAGGGGAGAUUGGAAUUCCUGGUGUAGCGGUGGAAUGCGCAGAUAUCAGGAGGAACACCGGUGGCGAAGGCGGAUCUCUGGGCCUUACCUGACGCUGAGGCGCGAAAGCUAGGGGAGCGAACAGG
rnacentral:rRNA from 1 species